rnacentral:misc_RNA from 1 species
AAUUCUCAAUCAUUAUCAACUUUUGCUGAUAAUGACUUGGAUGUGGGGGUCUAUUUUGCUGGCUUCUCAGUUAGUCAGCUCCCCUUAAAUGCAUUAGCCGGUGCCCCGCGUGGACUGUCUAUUGGUGUGAUAAUUAUCUACGCUAUAGACAUCUGCAAUCAUAUGGGUUUGCGCUGCUUCUAACAGUCUGUUGAUUCAGACAAUACAUGACA